rnacentral:rRNA from 1 species
ACAGAGAGCUUGCUCUCGGGUGACGAGUGGCGGACGGGUGAGUAAUGUCUGGGAAACUGCCUGAUGGAGGGGGAUAACUACUGGAAACGGUAGCUAAUACCGCAUAACGUCGCAAGACCAAAGAGGGGGACCUUCGGGCCUCUUGCCAUCAGAUGUGCCCAGAUGGGAUUAGCUAGUAGGUGGGGUAACGGCUCACCUAGGCGACGAUCCCUAGCUGGUCUGAGAGGAUGACCAGCCACACUGGAACUGAGACACGGUCCAGACUCCUACGGGAGGCAGCAGUGGGGAAUAUUGCACAAUGGGCGCAAGCCUGAUGCAGCCAUGCCGCGUGUAUGAAGAAGGCCUUCGGGUUGUAAAGUACUUUCAGCGGGGAGGAAGGGAGUAAGGUUAAUAACCUUAUUCAUUGACGUUACCCGCAGAAGAAGC